rnacentral:lncRNA from 1 species
GCGUCCAUAGCCUUCCUCAUCAUCAUCAUCCUUCCUCUGAUAGGAGGGCUUGCGGUACCCCUCCUCCUCCUCCUCCUCCUGCCGAGGUGGACGCCCCUCAUAACCAUACUCAACCCCUCCUCCUCCUCCCUGGCUUUCAUAGUUGCUCCUCCCAUAGCUCGGUUUCUCCUCAUACUCACUCCUCCCUCCAUACCCGGAUCCAUAUUCAGAUUCUUGCUUCCUUCCACCAUACCCGGAUCCAUAUUCAGAUUCUUGCUUCCUUCCACCAUACCCGGAUCCAUAUUCACUCUCCUCCUUUCUCCCAUCAUACCCUGAUCCAUAUUCUGAUUCCUCCUUCCUUCCUCCAUAUCCUGACCCAUAUUCAGACUCUUCCUUCCUU